rnacentral:rRNA from 1 species
UGAGCAACCUGCCCUCAGCUUUGGGAUAACCCUCGGAAACGGGGCUAAUACCGGAUAUUCACUGCUUCGCGCAUGUGGGGUGGUGGAAAGUUUUUCGGCUGGGGAUGGGCUCGCGGCCUAUCAGCUUGUUGGUGGGGUGAUGGCCUACCAAGGCGACGACGGGUAGCCGGCCUGAGAGGGCGACCGGCCACACUGGGACUGAGACACGGCCCAGACUCCUACGGGAGCA